CCUACGGGAGGCUGCAGUGGGGAAUAUUGCACAAUGGAGGGAACUCUGAUGCAGCGACGCCGCGUGAGUGAAGAAGGUCUUCGGAUCGUAAAACUCUGUCCUUGGUGAAGAUAAUGACGGUAACCAAGGAGGAAGCCCCGGCUAACUACGUGCCAGCAGCCGCGGUAAUACGUAGGGGGCGAGCGUUGUCCGGAUUUACUGGGCGUAAAGGGUGAGUAGGCGGUUAUGUAUGUCAGAUGUAAAAGGCGCGGGCUUAACUUGCGUUAGCAUUUGAAACUGCAUAACUUGAGUGCAGGAGAGGUAAGCGGAAUUCCUAGUGUAGCGGUGAAAUGCGUAGAUAUUAGGAGGAACACCGGUGGCGAAGGCGGCUUACUGGACUGUAACUGACGCUGAGUCACGAAAGCGUGGGUAGCAAACAGGAUUAGAUACCCCGGUAGUC
rnacentral:rRNA from 1 species